rnacentral:rRNA from 1 species
UUUGCCUACGGGGGGCAGCAGUGGGGAAUAUUGCGCAAUGGGGAAACCCUGAUGCAGCGACGCCGCGUGUGGGAAGACGGUCCUCUGGAUUGUAAACCACUGUCCCCAGGGACGAAGAUGACGGUACCUGGGGAGGAAGCUCCGGCUAACUACGUGCCAGCAGCCGCGGUAAUACGUAGGGAGCGAGCGUUGUCCGGAAUUACUGGGUGUAAAGGGAGCGUAGGCGGGGGUGCAAGUUGGGUGUCAAAACUACCGGCUCAACUGGUAGUCGCACUCAAACCU